AUGAAGAAGAGGAGGAGGCCGAGGCCGAGGGCCACCAGGUGCCACCGGCGGUGUCUCCUGCGCUGGCGCCGCGUCACCGUGCGCGUGGUGCGGGUGAAGGCCUCGCUCUGGGGGGACAGGGACAGUGCCAGGGGCUGCUCUGGGGACAGAGGCACAUAUGGGGACAAACAGACUCCUCCCAGCCCCCAGAGUCUCUCCUCCCCAGGCUGGGUGUCCCCACAAUGUCCCCAGCCCUGUGCACCCACAGUGUCCCCAAGCUUUGUGUGUCCCCCAGCUCUGUGUGUCCCUACAGUGUCCCCAAGCCCUGGGUGUCCCCCAGCUCUGUGUGUCCCCUCCCCAUGUCACACCGCCUGUCGCAGGUGCUGUGCCCGCCUCUGCCCGGCUCCAGGUGUCCCCGCAGUGCCACCCCCCUGUCCCCGGCUGUCCCCACAGUGUCCCACCGCCUGUCGCAGGUCCUGGGCCCGGCUCUGCAGCUGCUCCAGGUGUCCCUCCCGCUCCAGCGCCUUGGCCACGUUCUGUCGCAUCAGCUCCGCCACCUCCUCGGCCUCGCGCUGGCACCGCUCCAGCCCCGCCUGGGGACACGGGGACACCGUGGGGACACGGGGGGACACGGGGAGAGCACCGGGGACGUGGGCGCCAAGGGGACACGGGGACAGGCAGGGACAAUGGCACCGCGAGGGGGACACGCACGGAGCUCGGGGACAGGAAACCGUGGGGACGGGGACACCGGAGCACGGGGACUGGGGAGGGACACGGGGACACCGGGACCGCGGGGGACACGGAAUGUCCCGCGCGGGCCACCUCCCACCGCCCCGGGGACCGCGGCAGGGGGAGCCCGGGACAGGCACCGGCACCAGCACCGGCACCGGGGGAUCCCGAGCCCGGCGGCUCCCGGGGCCCCGAGCCCGCCCUGCCCCGAGCAAAGCGAAAGCGAAAGCGGCGGCCGGGACUCACCAUGGUCCCGGUUCCGCGGGCCGGGCUCGGUGCCGGUACCGGUGCGCCCGUUCCUGUACCCGUCCGGCCUCGGGCCACAGCGGCCGCCCCCGCCGGGAGGGACCGGGACCGCCCCCCCGCCACCCUCGAGUGGCCGCAGAGCCGGACAGCGCGGCC
rnacentral:lncRNA from 1 species